rnacentral:lncRNA from 1 species
GAGAUUCUAAAAGUAACUAAACGAAUCGAAAUAAUUUCGAUCAAACUUAAAUCACAUAAAAUCCUAGGAAAAUUGAGUAUAAAACUAUUUAAACUAGAGCAGAAUCCUCUAAAAGCAGAUUUGAACCCAACCCAUUUGCUUUGGACUAAAUCAGAUUUUUAUACUAAUCAAAUAAGGAGAGAGAAAGCCAAAACAAAAAAGAAAGAAGCUUCCUUCUCCUCUCCUUAUCGUCAACUGUCCCCUCCUCAUUUCCUUCUCGUUUUUCGGCCAAAUGGCCAUUCUUUCCGGUGAGUGAGGGCUUAAAAAUCGAAAGGUCGAUGAGACAAACAUGCCUGUGGCCACUGUUCGCAUAAUAAAGGCCUGGAUCGAGAGAAACCGUAAGUAAGGGGUUCGAUACCGUAGCAGCACAUUUUUCGGCAAUUGCUACCGUUAUCGGCUAAGACAGCCUUCAUUGAGGCUUUCGAUUGACUCUCCAUCACCUCACGAUUAUUUUCCCUUUAUAAAUUCCAGCGUUUAGCUCUGUCUUGCGAAUUUUCCACGAAUCAUGGCAAAGGAGACUAUUGAGCUGAUUUUUGGCUAAAGGGCUUCUCCUCUCUACAAAUUCAAGCUGGAUAUGGACUUUAGGAGAAAAUCCAAGGAAUUCAGAUUCCUUUUUCGUUGAAACUGAUUUUUCAGCUGUUGUGCUGGUGGUCUAAUGACCGGCGGGAUAGACCCCGAUAAGGCUUCUAGAGGCGAAAUUUUCCCCUUUUUGCGGUAAUCACGAAUCUUCAAUUCGAUUUUUAAUCGGUAAACGUUAAGUCCCAACACUAUUUUCUUGUAAAAAAAUUCAAUUAGAGUUGGUUAAUCCAAUUUAUAGGGAGAAUGCUGUCGAACGCUAAAGAACUUGCUUAGUUCUAACAUUAGUGGAUAAUAACUACUAAGAUUGUUUGUAUUGCUAUUAUUAUUAUUAUUA